AAGUCGUAACAAGGUCUCCGUAGGUGAACCUGCGGAAAGGAUCAUUAACACGUAUCCAACGUUAAAACAACCCCCGUGAACUUUCAGCUUGCUCCUGUAGCCCGGUAAAUGAUUGUUGACCAGCUUUUGAGUCGCGACCGGGUCACCGGGCUCUGCCCCUUUACGACAACACAGUACGAAUUGGCCGCGCGUGAAAUUCGCACGGCACCAAAAACCGAACAACUGUUAACAAUGGAUAUCUUGGUUCUC
rnacentral:misc_RNA from 1 species